rnacentral:rRNA from 1 species
UGGGGAAUUUUGGACAAUGGGCGCAAGCCUGAUCCAGCAAUGCCGCGUGCAGGAUGAAGGCCUUCGGGUUGUAAACUGCUUUUGUACGGAACGAAAAGGCUCUGGUUAAUACCUGGGGCUCAUGACGGUACCGUAAGAAUAAGCACCGGCUAACUACGUGCCAGCAGCCGCGGUAAUACGUAGGGUGCAAGCGUUAAUCGGAAUUACUGGGCGUAAAGCGUGCGCAGGCGGUUAUGUAAGACAGAUGUGAAAUCCCCGGGCUCAACCUGGGAACUGCGCUUGUGACUGCUAAGCUAGAGUACGGCAGAGGGGAGUGGAAUUCCACGUGUAGCAGUGAAAUGCGUAGAUAUGCGGAGGAACACCGAUGGCGAAGGCAAUCCCCUGGGCCUGUACUGACGCUCAUGCACGAAAGCGUGGGGAGCAAACA